rfam:Ictidomys tridecemlineatus contig091240, whole genome shotgun sequence.
CCAAAGGCUCUUUUCAGAGCCACAUAUCUUCACCUGAAGAGUUGUA